GUUAUCAGUAGACGUCUAGUUUAUAAGCAGACCCUGGAAACGGCUGAAGUAGUAAGAGUUUGUUAAGAUAAACUACAAACUAGUUUUAGCAAGUGCUUGUCGCACCAAAUAAGUCGAGACAAAGAAAUGAAACGUUAAAAUGCACGUGGAAGAGGAGGAUGAACUGGGAAAAAGCAUGCAUCUAACCAAGUGUAACGCUAUCCUUCCGAUUCCUCAAGAGGGUCGCCCUGAAGACCACGAGCGCCGCGGCUGACGCGCUGCAGCCACAGGUUGAAUGACAAAGAGCCCCCGUCAGCACUGUCCUCUUGGCAAAGUCCACUCGAACCCUGCAGUCACGCCUUGGCGGCAGGGACUGCAGAUUUCCAAACCACUCUCGCCAGUUACCAGGUGGGACAAGGAUUGGCUGGCCGAGGAGGCUGGGACGGGCAUGCCACGAGUCCAAAAUAACUCCCGCCCGAGUGAGUCCCUUUCCUCGGAGCAGAAUGCGGCCAAGAGAGUCUGGAGGCACCACGUUGAUAGACUGGAUGAGGCACGGUGAUCGAUCCACUGUUCACAAGCUUGUUCAGUGAGCACAGCUUCUAAAGACUUCAAGGAGAGAACUCUCAUUCAGAACAUCUUCCUCUAGUUUCACAUUCUGUGUCAAGUGCAGUCCUGCCGCUUCCCAAGGGCUGGCUGGAUCUGGACCUGAGAUAAACUCGCCACUCCUUGAAGGAAGACUCACUCCCAGUUGAUGUGAUGCACUCCAAGCCCCUCCCUGACCUCUUCCUGCUCUGUUUUGACUCCUCCCUUAAUCUCACGGGCCUGCAGUCUCCCAUUCUAAUCAGUUGGUUUCUUUGGGUUUCUGCUAGCAGGAGAUAAAUGAGCAGAAGAGUUUGGUAGAAAACAAAUUGGUUGCAAUAAAAAUUUCUUCAACAUAA